rnacentral:rRNA from 1 species
UGGGGGAUUUUGCACAAUGGGCGCAAGCCUGAUGCAGCGACGCCGCGUGAGGGAUGAAGGCCUUCGGGUUGUAAACCUCUUUCGCUGGGUUGAAAGGCCAUGCUUUGGGUGUGGUUGAUUUGAACUGGUAAAGAAGUACCGGCUAACUACGUGCCAGCAGCCGCGGUAAUACGUAGGGUACUAGCGUUGUCCGGAUUUAUUGGGCGUAGAGGGCGUGGAGGUGGUUUGUCGCGUCUGUCGUGAAAUCCUGUGGCAUAACCAUGGGCUUGCGGUGGGUACGGGCAGGCUUGAGUGGGGUAGGGGAGGCUGGAAUUCCUGGUGUAGCGGUGGAAUGCGCAGAUAUCAGGAGGAACACCGGUGGCGAAGGCGGGUCUCUGGGCCGUUACUGACACUGAGGAGCGAAAGCGUGGGGAGCGAACAGG